rnacentral:tRNA from 1 species
UAAUACUUACCCAAAUGGUUUAAGGGGGCGCUUUCGAAAAGCGUUAGGUUUUUUUGCAUGCGUGGGUUCGAAUCCCACAUUCUUGG